rnacentral:rRNA from 1 species
GGACCUGACUGCUAUCGGAUUGAUACUAAGCCAUGCAAGUCUUUGUAGUAAUACAAGGCAUACUGCUCAGUAACGCGUAGUCAACCUAACCUAUGGACGGGAAUAACCUCGGGAAACUGAGAAUAAUGCCCGAUAGAACAUUAUGCCUGGAAUGGUUUAUGUUCCAAAUGAUUUAUCGCCGUAGGAUGGGACUGCGGCCUAUCAGUUUGUUGGUGAGGUAAUGGCCCACCAAGACUAUUACAGGUACGGGCUCUGAGAGGAGUAGCCCGGAGAUGGGUACUGAGACACGGACCCAGGCCCUAUGGGGCGCAGCAGGCGAGAAAACUUUGCAAUGUGCGAAAGCACGACAAGGUUAAUCCGAGUGGUUUCUGCUAAAGAAACCUUUUGUCAGUCCUAGAAACACUGAUGAAUAAGGGGUGGGCAAGUUCUGGUGU